GCCCUGGAGUGGGGGAUAACUAGUCGAAAGACUAGCUAAUACCGCAUACGAUCUACGGAUGAAAGUGGGGGAUCGCAAGACCUCAUGCUCGUGGAGCGGCCGAUAUCUGAUUAGCUAGUUGGUGGGGUAAAGGCCUACCAAGGCAUCGAUCAGUAGCUGGUCUGAGAGGACGACCAGCCACACUGGGACUGAGACACGGCCCAGACUCCUACGGGAGGCAGCAGUGGGGAAUUUUGGACAAUGGGCGCAAGCCUGAUCCAGCAAUGCCGGUGAGUG
rnacentral:rRNA from 1 species